AUACGUAGGUGACAAGCGUUAUCCGGAUUUACUGGGCGUAAAGGGCGUGUAGGCGGGUCUGCAAGUCAGACGUGAAAUACCGGGGCUUAAAUCCGGGGCUGCGUUUGAAACCGCAGGGCUUGAGUACAGGAGAGGAGAGUGGCAUUCCUAGUGUAGCGGGGAAAUGCGUAGAUAUUAGGAGGAAUACCAGUGGCGAAGGCGACUCUCUGGACUGAUACUGACGCUGAGGCACGAAAGCGUGGGGAGCAAACAGGAUUAGAUACCCUGGUAGUCCACGCUAUAAACGAUGAGUGCUAGGUGUCGGGGGUCAAACCUCGGUGCCGCAGUUAACACAUUAAGCACUCCGCCUGGGGAGUACGGCCGCAAGGCUGAAACUCAAAUGAAUUGACGGGG
rnacentral:rRNA from 1 species